rnacentral:lncRNA from 1 species
GAAAGCUGCUGAGUGUCCUGCAGCAGGCCAUUUCCAAUCCAGAGGAAGACCUUCUAAAAGAGGUGAUGGAUGGGAGAGUGCUGACAUACUAUGUGAAGCUACUAUUUGGAGUUGGACACGAGUGCAUGUGACCUUGUGCCACAGCGGCAAUCUUGACUACCACACAAAUGAAUCCAUUCAAAUGUUGGCAAGUGGAGCAGAGUCCCAGGACAGGAGGCGCUCGGAAACCACCGUGAAUUGGACCGCACUGGGAAGCACAGAUGAAGAAAUUCAGCACCGCUUUGUCCUUCAGUGCCUGGCUGCUUUUUCAGCUCGUCUUGCGACUCCAGCUUCUUCUUGGAGUCUCAGGGCAAAUCCUUUUGAGCAGCGCCUCCCAGUGGCCAGAAGCUGAAAUGACGGCAGUGGUGCCACCUGGUGAAUGACCCGGGAAGCUGUGGUUGGCCCUGAUUUCUUCUUUGGAGUCUCCGAAACGCUUCCUGUCUUCUGUUCUUCACGCCCCAUGCCCCUGCUAGCAUAUUACUGUUCUGUGACUUCCCUGUGACCUCUACAGUACUCCCAAUCCUGCAUUUGGUCUCCAGGUGUCACCUUUCUUCCAUGUUCCUAACACUUUGAUUCCUGUCUUGAAAAAAGCACCUGCUGCACCAUAAGCCCAGGGAUGUGGCAGCUGCAGCGGGCUUAGAUUUGUGAGGAACCGAGUGUGUCCGGGGAUGUGGCAACUGCAGCGGGCUUGGCUUUGUGAGGAAUCGAAUGUGUCCAGGGAUGUGGCAGCUGCAGCAGGCUUGGUUUUAUGAGGAACCGAGUGUGUCCACGUGGGGGAACGUCAUAGUUGAUACACACGUUUUUAUUUGCACAAAGAAAAUGCUAUUUUUGGAGCCAGAAUUUUCAUGUCUGAUUUAUGGUGAUUUUCUUAAGAACCAGAACUGCUGGCAGAAAGGGGGCACCCACACGCUUAGAUAGCCGAUGUCUUAUUAGAGGGCAGUUUGUGGUUCCUGAUUUGGAAUUUAACAUUCUCCAAACAUUCCAGUCCAAUGAAAGUUUUAUCCCCUUUCUCAUAUAAAAAUUCUUCCCACGAGAGUGACUUGAUUCUCACAAUCCCGUUGGAGUCGUGUGUGAGUCCUACAGUGUGAGGUUCAGCAUUGCCAUCUCCAAGUGCUCUCCGUAGGGAAACAGUUUCUGGUCAUGAUGAGCUUCCGCUUCCC